GUCUUUUUGCAUUUAAAUAUAAAGUCUAACCUGCCCACUGAUUUUUAAAUGGCCGCAGUACACUAACUGUGCAAAGGUAGCAUAAUAAUUAGUCUUUUAAUUGAAGGCUGGAAUGAAUGGUUGGACGAAAUAUUAACUGUUUCAUUAAAAAUUACAAUAGAAUUUUAUUUUUUAGUCAAAAAGCUAAAAUUUAAUUAAAAGACGAGAAGACCCUAUAAAGCUUUAUACAUUUUUGUAAUUUAAUAAAUAAGAUUUUUUAGAUUUAAUUAUAAAUAUGUAUUUUAUUGGGGUGAUAUUAAAAUUUAAAGAACUUUUAAUUUUUUAAACCAUUAAUUUAUGAAUAAAUGAUCCGUAUAUAACGAUUAAAAAUUUAAGUUACUUUAGGGAUAACAGCGUAAUUUUUUUGGAGAGUUCAUAUCGAUAAAAAAGAUUGCGACCUCGAUGUUGGAUUAAGGAAUAAUUUUAGGCGCAGCCGUUUAAAUGAUAAGUCUGUUCGACUUUUAAACCCUU
rnacentral:rRNA from 1 species